rnacentral:rRNA from 1 species
AUUGAACGCUGGCGGCAUGCUUUACACAUGCAAGUCGAGCGGCAGCGCGGGGGCAACCCUGGCGGCGAGCGGCGGACGGGUGAGUAGAGCAUCGGAACGUAUCCCGUAGUGGGGGACAACCCAGCGAAAGCUGGGCUAAUACCGCAUAUGCUCUACGGAGGAAAGUGGGGGACUCGCAAGGGCCUCACGCUAUGGGAGCGGCCGAUGUCCGAUUAGCUAGUUGGUGGGGUAAUGGCUCACCAAGGCGAUGAUCGGUAGCUGGUCUGAGAGGAUGAUCAGCCACACUGGGACUGAGACACGGCCCAGACUCCUACGGGAGGCAGCAGUGGGGAAUUUUGGACAAUGGGGGCAACCCUGAUCCAGCCAUGCCGCGUGCGGGAAGAAGGCCUUCGGGUUGUAAACCGCUUUUGUCUGGGAAGAAAAGGCGUCCACUAAUACUGGGCGUUCUUGACGGUACUGGAAGAAUAAGCACCGGCUAACUACGUGCCAGCCGCCGCAGUAACAC